GGGCUGCACUCCUCCACCAAACCCUGUAAUCUUAUCUACUAAAAUUUAUAACAUCAGCGUCAGGAUAAUUUCGGAGAACUCCUUAAAUAAGGGAAAAGGAGAGGUUAGGUAAAAGCUGAGGAACUUAUAAUAAUUAGCUAUUUUCAUGGUUUUACACGAAACAGAAGAGUUCAGAAAACCUUCAACAGGCCUUCAGACUGCACUCUUCUACAAAACUCUGUGGGUAAUAAUCUUACUAUAUAUAUUUGAAAUUAGUAACGUCAGCAUCUGGGAAACUUGUUAAACUUCUAAAAUGAAGGUAGUACUUCAUAAACAGUGCUUAAAGUUCACGUUAUAGAGCAAAGGAAACUUACUUGAUUACAAACCAAGAGCAGCAUGUGCUUCAAGUUACUAGAGGUGGGAUGUCGACAACAGGGAUACAAGAAGAAACAGGCAACGUUAGCUAUUCUAAAGGAUAUAGAGAAGUUUAAAAGGAGCACCAUUGAACACUUCAGAGAGAAACAGAACACUAAGCAA